CCUACGGGAGGCAGCAGUGAGGAAUAUUGGUCAAUGGACGAGAGUCUGAACCAGCCAAGUAGCGUGAAGGAUGACUGCCCUCUGGGUUGUAAACUUCUUUUAUAUGGGAAUAAAACGUUCCACGUGUGGGAUUUUGUAUGUACCAUAUGAAUAAGGAUCGGCUAACUCCGUGCCAGCAGCCGCGGUAAUACGGAGGAUCCGAGCGUUAUCCGGAUUUAUUGGGUUGAAAGGGAGCGUAGGUGGAUUGUUAAGUCAGUUGUGAAAGUUUGCGGCUCAACCGUAAAAUUGCAGUUGAAACUGGCAGUCUUGAGUACAGUAGAGGUGGGCGGAAUUCGUGGUGUAGCGGUGAAAUGCUUAGAUAUCACGAAGAACUCCGAUUGCGAAGGCAGUUCACUGGACUGCAACUGACACUGAGGCUCGAAAGUGUGGGUAUCAAACAGGAUUAGAUACCCCAGUAGUC
rnacentral:rRNA from 1 species